rnacentral:miRNA from 1 species
UGAGGCAGGAGAAUUGCUUGAACCCAGGAGGUGGAGGUUGCAGUGAGCCGAGAUCGAGCCAUUGCACUCCAGCCUGGGUGAGAAGAGUGAGACUCCAUCUC